UUGUCCAUAACAGAGAAUCUUCCGGUUUGGACAUAGAGCAUCGCGUCUAAAUUGGAGGCCUGACCAUAGUCUGGUCGUGGCCUUAAAGGCAUGACGCUACACU
ensembl:scaRNA SCARNA11 small Cajal body-specific RNA 11